CAGGUGACAGAUGUCCCCACCUCCUUGUGAGACGUAGGGCCGCGGGUGCGGGACAUGCUAGGAGACUGAGGAACUGGUGUUGCCACUGUCUGCCCCUCAUGUGCUCUGGGAGAUGAAUCACCGUGGGAGUGGCGGUGAGAAUCCUCUGGAGAGAGAGCUGCCGUGCCUUCCUGGGGGAGGGGAAGGACAGCUCCACCAGGCUCACAAGCCAAAUGAGGGACCUUCAGAGUUUCAGGUGAAGGGGUGCUCACCUGCUUCCUAGAGGCCAGAGCGGCACAGCAAGGAAGUGAGCAAAGCAUGGUGCUAGCUGAUGAACCUGUUUUGCAUGGCCUGACGUUGAACUUCAGAUUUCACCAUUUCAUCACUCCACAACUUCGUAUCUGAAUCACAGGCUGAUUCAGAUCCUGGGAAGGUAUUCAAAUUCCUGGAUGGACUGAAACUCCAAGCAGGUUUCUACUCCCAAUGCCACAGGAAGAUUUCUGAGACAUCCAGGAGCAAGAAAACCCUGCAUAACCCAGCAUUUUUCAAACUCAUUUGAGUAAGAGAUCUUUUCCAGGAACUAUCUCAAACAUACAAGGAAGUUGAAAGAUGAGUGCAAUGAACUCCAAAGUUAUAUACGCAUCCUAACACAUCACUUCUCAAAAUCCAGUGUAUAUCACUUAAGAAUACAGAUAUUUAUCUACAGAACUGCAAUGUCAUUAUCUUAUCCCUCCUAAGAAGAUCCACCAUCUCAAAACAACCUCAAGUUCCUAUUUCUCUAAUUUUUGCCCCCAAAUGUCUUUAUAGCUGCUUUUAUCAAACUAAUGAAUACAUUACUUUUUUGUUGUUGUUAUGUAUUUUAAUUUAGAAUAGUUCUUUUUCUUCCCCCCAUUACAUUGACCCCCAGAGGAACUGGGCUAGUUGUCUUACAGAAUGUCUCACAUUCUAGUUUAUCUGUUGCUUCAUGAUGGUCACUUGUUCCUCUGUCCUUGUAUCUUCAGCCCUGGCUUCGUAGCAGAACCACCUAUCUCCAU